rnacentral:misc_RNA from 1 species
GAGAGAGAGAGAGAGAGAAGGGGGCAUUAAGAUUUGAGCCGUGAUCAUAACGGAGUCGUAUUUGAGAGUGUGGGACGUAAAAUACAAGUCGCGGUGUCUUUCCGGCCCAUUCGUCUUUUUCACAUAACGCGGAAAAAAUAAGCUCCCCCACCUUCUUAACAACAACGUCUGAGAGUUCCUUGUUGACGUUGACCAACUCGUCGUCUUGCUAAAACGCACCGUUUCCGUUACUCUACUCUUUUUUUCUUUUUUCAAUGGUCUCCGCCGCGUUGAUUUAGUGUUUAUUUAGCAUUACGUUUACACUGCAUUUGGAUAAGUGGAAAGUAGGGGGGAAGGAAAAUAACCGGUAAAAAGUACGGUGAAAUUCUGACUUUCCCCUGUUUGGGAACCGAAGAGAAAGCGGUGGGUGGAAGAAUAAUAACUUUUAUCAUCCUCAGUGAUAUCCUCUGAUCUAUAUGUCUUCUGUGUGUUUAGCGGCUAAUAGAGUUGGAACUUUUCGGGAGACAUACUCUCAAGAGGAAAAGAGAAAUCCCUAAUCCCAACAAUCUUUCCCCAAAAUUCCCUUCUUCUCCUAGCUAAAUGAUUCAAGGUUAUCCAUCUACCAUCGAUUUCCCUUCAUUGGCUUGUUCCUUGAAGGAAAAUCAUAGAUUUGAAACAUUAUUGAACAGCUAGGGCUUUUGAAGCCCUACAGAAAUUUGGUCGCAGAUUGGGUAACCAACAAGGACGACACCGUUCAAAGCUUCCCAAUCUUCGUAGGAGGAGCUUCACUCUUGGCUGUGCUCUUCAAUCGCGCCGCUUCUGGUAUAGCUCCAGUUGCCGAUGCUAGUAGUUCACAGUCCAGAGCUGAUUUAUUGACACUUGGAUUGGCUGUGACCAAUAUAUUAACGGGCCUGGUAUGGCUCACAAUAAGGCCAAAGUCAAUAUCUCCGGUAAAUCCUCAAGGUGUAGAGUGUCGAAUUAUAUCUUCCUCCCUCCCUGACGUUGUGGUUUCUGAGUUAUUAUGGGUAUGGGAAUCCCUGUCAGCUGUUACUUGCUGCAGAUCUCUAGUUGCUGUUUAUGAUAGCAUUUGUAUCCUACAAAUUGGUAUGGCAGCUGAAUCUCCAAAUGACGGUGAAGCACUGCCUGUGGAUGCUGCCAAAUUGAUGCAAGGAUCGCUUUUUCAAGGUGUUAUGAAGUCUGGAGCUCAGAGCUAUUUGGCAAACCUAUCUCUCUAUCCUGGAAGGUCUGAGCUGCCAUUUUUUCCUAAAAAUACACAGGUUAUCGUGCUUGUUUCCCUGAGUUUAUAUUCACCACAGUUUACAAGACAAAAUACCCUAUUGCUAAUUAUUCUGUGCAAAUAAUGUUUGUUUUUCACUUAUUCUAGCGGAAAUUGAUUUCCUUGUAAAUUAGAAACUAUAUUGUAUUUCUCAUUUUAUACUCUAUACAAAAAAGGGAGGUAAGAAAAAAAUAACAAUCAUAUCAUCUUUAUGGGAAAAUUUUUUAUGUUAUGAGUUUUUCUGAGCUUGAAGGCUUAUUUUAUAAAUUCAAAUGCACAGGGUUUUUAAUCCCUCCUCAUUAAAAGAAUUGCUAAAACAAUUUUGCUAUUUGCUAGGCAGUUAUUUUGCAACCACUUGGAGAUAGAGGAAUUGUGAUAAUUGGUGGUGACACAAUUAGGGGUUUCACAACUUCUGACCAGGUGCUCCUUUUCAUAUCUUUAUCCGUAUCUGAACUCCUGGAAACAUCUAUUUCAUGCUUCCAUUUUCUUUCUGCUGAUUUUAAUGUCUUUCAUAUCCCAAAUGGAUUACCUGCUAGGGGAGUUAAAAAAAAGUCAGAUAAACCUGUCUGACCUUACCAACAUCAAUUUAACUGACCUAGAUUUAUCAAUAUCACUGCAAAAUCUAUUGGGUUGGCUUAAUCUUGUAGGAAUACUAUCAGCUCCAUCAGGUCAGGUUCAGUUUUUACUUUGGUGAUGGUAUCAUUUGUAAUCUGACUCAUAAUUUUAAAAGCACAGCUUGGCUUUCCCACAUCACUUUGCUUCUUGGAUAUGUGAUUUUUUUCUAGGACUUUUUGAUGUUGAUGGACUUUUUGUUGAUGUCACUCACAUCAGUAUUGUUGCUGUUGUUCUCCUUCUAGGGAUUAUAUGGUUUACAAGGAGCAGUGUUUGGCUGGGCACCAUAAUGGUUGCGUUCUUGGAAAAUGGGAAGUCUGUGGCCUGGAAUAGGAGAUAUUAUUGGCCCUACUUUAAUUGGGCAUAUUAAAGCUAAAAUGAAUAUAAAUUUUUAAUGGAGGGCUGUAACUGCAGUUAGCUGCUCAAUCUUGCUAGGAAGAUGCCACUGGACAUUUAAAUUGAUCCAACCUAACAAGUGAACUGAUGACAAUCUAUUCGGAUUGGCAAAGAAAUAUUCAGUCCGGUCUACAUAUUUCAUAACCAGAUUGAAGCUCAGUUCAGGCUAAGACCCAACCAAAACUGACUUAAAUCUUUUUACACCCCUUAUUACCAACAUUCUAAUUGGUCAUGCCUUUUUUUUUUCUCCAUUUAUCUGCAACUCGGAUUUAGAUUUAAUUUUAUUUUCUGUUCUUUUUCAAUGUUCUCUCUUAUCUGCAGGCAUGGAUUACAUUUAUUGGAGAGAAACUUGAUGCUACACUAGGAAAAUAUGUGAUCAACAAUCCAUUGGCAGUUCAAGAUAGAGUUUGAAACUACAUACUUUCACGAUUUUUGAACUUAAAUGGGCAUUAUAUUUACUGUAUCCUUUAUUCAAGGCUUCCCAUGCAGCAGUUUGUGUUGAGGCUGGGGGCAAACUUACGAAGAUUCAACAUCACAGUGCCACCUGAUCUUCAAUUUGAUUAUCCAUCGGUUGAAUAUUUUGGAUUCUUACUUUCUUGGAGAUCAUAGUUACCAUCAUAUGGCAUUUCCCAUUUUUGCAUGAAUAUUACAAGGAAUUGACGGUAUGUGGUUAAUGAUGUAAAGAAUAGGCAUUCAGAUGAUUUUUAAUAUUUAUCUAAUCUUCCCUCCUUCAUCUGCUGCAUUACCUUUGAUUGGUGGAUGGAAGGAUGUUAUUUUUGUUGAGCAUGUCCGGAUUAGGUUUGAAGGACACUCGUUAAUUAACACAAAUAUAGUUUAUCUCAAAACUUGCAAGAUCAAAGUGGCAUCAG